UCUUUUCGCACUUGGCAACCUUUCUGUCGUUUUCCGUCAACUGCUUCGUCGUUUCCCCGAGACGUAGAAAGCGCCUUUAUCCUCCCACGCACGUUCGAGCCACUGAAACUGAAAGGUAGGCGGAAGGAAUGCAUUCCAGAAAUUUAACGUGGGUCACCUCAAAAUUUAUCUACAGUUUUGGUCAGAAUUUAUUAUAGUACAUCCUCAACUGUACGCCAUAGUAUUUAAUUCGCCUGCCGAUCCCCAUGCUCAAGCUCAAAUCCGUGCCGUAUUUGGGCUCCUCGGGAGGCUCUUGUAUUCAUGAUCCUUCUUCUUCCUAUUCGGGCUUGAAGUUGUUGCACUCGUGGGCUGUGUUUCCUCGCAAACCUCCGUUCGAUUGUUCCUCUCAGUCGCGCUUCAUUUCUGCAGGUACACAUUGUAGUGUACAGAUGGCAUUUGUAAAGACAGUUGACAGCAGAGGAUCUAAAUUCCCGGAGAACAUUGCAAUAAGAGCAACUAAGGAAAACUAUAGUUACCAUCAGCUGAUCUUAUCUGCUAAGAAGAUAUCUAAUUUGUUAACAAACACUGAUUCAAAACACAGCAAUGCUGUUGGAGAUGAGAAGAAUCUCCAUGGAGCCCGAGUCGGAAUUGUUGCUCAACCCUCCCCAGAGUUUGUUGCUGGAUUACUUGGAACAUGGUUUGUCGGAGGUGUUGCAGUCCCUCUUGCUCUCAGUUACCCCGAAAUGGAGCUACUGCAUGUCGUGAAUGACUCGGAUAUCUCUAUGAUUUUAUCUACUGAAGGUCAUCACAACUUAAUGAAAGCUGUUGCAGCCAAGACUUCUGCUCGUGUAUCACUUUUUCCUCCUGUUCUUAAAACCAGUAUUACUGAAACCGAAAAUGAAAUAGGAGCUGCAACUGAAAUUUUUCCUGAGUUAAGUGGAAAUGACCCUGCAUUGAUCGUAUACACCAGCGGCACCACGGGUAAGCCUAAAGGAGUCGUGCACACGCAUAAAGGUAUUUUGGCACAGACUCAAAUGCUGACGGAUGCUUGGGGAUACACGUCCGAUGACCAUUUCUUGAAUUGCAUGCCUCUGCAUCACGUCCAUGGUCUUUUUAAUGCUCUUCUUGCCCCUCUCUAUGCUGGUGCAACGGUUGAACUCAUGCCCAAAUUUAGUGUACGGGGAAUCUGGCAGAGAUGGCGAGAAUCUUACCAGGAGGAUAGCACUAAAGCAGAUGGUGCUAUAACCGUGUUCACCGGAGUACCAACAAUGUACACACGUUUACUUCAGGGAUAUGAAGCCAUGGAUGAAGAUUUAAAAAAUGUUUCUGCUGCCGCCGCUCGGAAGUUGCGACUCAUGAUGUGUGGUUCCUCUGCUCUCCCUCUUCCAGUCAUGAAACAAUGGGAAGCUGUCACAGGCCACGUUCUGUUGGAGCGAUAUGGCAUGACUGAGUUUAUUAUGGCAAUAUCUAAUCCCUUGAAUGGCAAACGGAAGGGGGGUACUGUUGGCAAGCCUCUCCCUGGUGUGCAGGUCAAGAUUCUCGCAGAAGAUGGCAGUGGAGACACUAAUGUGAAAAUUGGUGAGCUGUGCAUUAAAAGCCCCUCAUUGUUCAAGGAAUAUUGGAAUUUGCCAGAGGUGACCAAAGACUCAUUAAUAGAUGAUGGAUUCUUCAAAACUGGAGAUGCUGUUACAAUGGAUGAAGAAGGAUACUAUGUCAUUUUGGGACGGACAAAUGCCGAUAUUAUGAAAGUUGGAGGUUAUAAACUAUCGGCUCUAGAAAUUGAAGCAGCCCUUUUGGAGCAUCCGACUAUUAUAGAAUGUUGUGUGUUGGGUUUGCCCGACCAAGAUUAUGGUGAUGCUGUGUGUGCUAUAGUUAUACCUGAUAAAGAGACUAAGAGAAAACAAGAGGAAGAGUCGAAGCCUGCUCUGACUCUGGAAGAACUUUCUGCGUGGGCUAAAGAUAAGCUUGCACCGUACAAGAUCCCAACCCGCCUACUGGUAUGGGAGUCGCUGCCUCGGAAUGCCAUGGGGAAGGUGAACAAGAAGGAGCUGAAGAAAAUGCUCAGCUAAAUCAUGGCACGGAUCGAUGUUUUCCAAGAGGUAUGUUCUUUGAGUAUAAGGAAUUGUUGAACUAAGAUAUUCUUUGAUCUGUUCAUCAGUUCAAAUAUUAUUUACAUUUUUACCGUAUUGGGAAUGCUUUGAAUGGUUUGUCGGAAACUCUCCUGAAGUUGCAUUUUGAGGAUUCUAGAUUAUGCAAGCCUUGUCUCAAAAUAUACAGAAGAUAAGGGUCUACUUAUUAGCUAUAACUAAAAGUACGAACUACCAUUCCAUAACGGAAAUGUAUGACCUAAAUAUGUCAACUAGGCGAGCCUCGAUUGUUGUUGAGUCGCCUAACUUGGAUCAUUCAGUCAGCCCAACUAUAUCUAGUAAUUAUCAUUCGAAUGACUGCAAACGUUGUAAAUAUUCCAUGGGAUCCGGCGCAAUCCUAUUAGCACUGAGGCCCUAAUGAGGAUAAAAGGAGAGUGUAGCAGGCGACAAGAGACAGAGGGGGGGCGAGAAAACAAGUAAGAAAUGUGUCGACAAAGGCCACCAAGAUGGGACACGCUGAAUUGGUGGCUUCCCUGCAGGUCAGUAGUAAGUAGAUUUUGUGAUGCAUAGUAAUUAGUAUCGUGUUGGUUCGAUGAUAAGUAGAUAUAAUUAUUUCUUCUAUAAUGCUGGAGCUGGACUGUAAGCUAAGUUAAGCUAAGGUAAGUUUGGAUAGAUUAGCUGAGCUAAUGUCUUGGAAUGGUUGGUUGGUUGGUUGGUUGGUUGUCUACCAAGAUGCAUUGUAGUAUAGUUAGUCUGUUAGUAUUGGUUUUGUUCAAGUUCAACUAGAGUGUAAAACAUGUUGAAUUUAUAUACCCUAUUAUAUGAAAUAUAUUAUUGAAUUAUAAUAAA